UGGGGAAUUUUCCGCAAUGGGCGAAAGCCUGACGGAGCAACGCCGCGUGGGGGAAGAAGGUUCUUGGAUUGUAAACCCCUUUUCUCAGGGAAGAAGAUCUGACGGUACCUGAGGAAUCAGCCUCGGCUAACUCCGUGCCAGCAGCCGCGGUAAUACGGAGGAGGCAAGCGUUAUCCGGAAUUAUUGGGCGUAAAGCGUUCGUAGGCGGUCGUUCAAGUCUGCUGUCAAAGACCGAGGCUCAACCUCGGGUCGGCAGUGGAAACUGGAUGACUAGAGAUCGGUAGGGGCAGAGGGAAUUCCCAGUGUAGCGGUGAAAUGCGUAGAUAUUGGGAAGAACACCGGUGGCGAAAGCGCUCUGCUAGACCGAAUCUGACGCUGAGGGACGAAAGCUAGGGGAGCGAAUG
rnacentral:rRNA from 1 species